rnacentral:tRNA from 2 species
AGAGAUGGCCGAGUGGUUGAUAGCUCCGGUCUUGAAAACCGGUAUAGUUCGCAGGGAACUAUCGAGGGUUCGAAUCCCUCUCUCUCCU